rnacentral:rRNA from 1 species
GAUGCUGGCUCAGGAUGAACGCUAGCGGCAGGCUUAACACAUGCAAGUCGAGGGGCAGCAUGAGGAGUCAGCAAUGACACCUUGAUGGCGACCGGCGCAAGGGUGCGUAACGCGUGAGCAACCUGCCAGUCGACGGGGGGAUAACCGGUGGAAACGCCGACUAAUAUCCCAUAGUUCGUUUUUAGGGGCAUCCCUUUAAAGAUAAAGGCUUCGGCCGGUGACGGAUGGGCUCGCGUGAC